UGCCCAGCAACUCCUAUCCCUACCUCCUCGUGGUACUGCCCGGGGUACGAAUAACCUUAGGGAAGAUCGGGUAAUCAACCCCGGUGGGAGCUUUGGUCGUAUGCUGACAGGGAAGG
rnacentral:ribozyme from 1 species